UGGGAUAUGUCGGGGAUUGCUCUCAGCCAACUUGCGCAGGAGAAGAAAGCUUGGAAGGAUCACCCUUUUGGCUUUGUGGCUGUCCCAACAAAGAACCCCGAUGGCAUGAUGAACCUGAUGAACUGGGAGUGUGCUGUCCCUGGAAAGAAGGGGACUCCGUGGGAAGGAGGCUUGUUCAUGCUACGGAGGCUUUUCAAAGGUGACUAUCCGUCCUCACCACCAAAAUGUAAAUUUGAGCCACCACUGUUUCAUCCAAACAUGUAUCCUUCUGGCACAGUGUGCCUGUCUAUUCUGGAGGAAGACAAGGACUGGAGGCCAGCUAUCACGAUCAAACAGGUCUUAUAAGGAAUGCAAGAACUUCUAAAUGAACCAAAGUAUUCAAGACCCAGCUCAAGCAGAGGCCUACACAAUUUACUGACCUCCUCAACCAAAACAGAGUGGAAUAUGAGAAAAGGGUUCGAGCACAAACUGAGAAAUUUGCCCCCUCAUAA